rnacentral:rRNA from 1 species
AUGCAAUUGAAACAAGUUCUUGCUAAUGGAAAAAAGGGAGGGUUGAAUGUAGGUGUUGUUCUUAUUUUUCUUGAGGGAUAUGAAUUAGCAUUGCCCGAUCGCAUUUCCCCUGAGUUAAAAGAAAAGAUAGGAAAUCUUGCUUUUCAAAGUUAUCGUCCCGAUAAAAAAACAUUCUUGUGA